CGCUGACGCCGCCACGCACGCCGUGCGCGCGCCUGCGCACCAGACACCCGGCACCGCGCCGCCUCACGGGAAGCGUAGUUUGCGAAGCGACCGUGGGCCCUCAGUUCCCACCCUGAUCCUCCCACGCUUCCGCGACGGGUGUCGAGGGACGGCGCGGUGUCGGAGGCUCCGGACGGCAGUCAGCCCUCAGGCGGGGAUACCCUAGUGGCCGAGUGGGGGCGACGCGGUUCCGAUGGCGCGGGAAGGUUCCGCUGCGACCCCCGGCCCCCGAGGCGCCGCUUCCGGUGCACCGUGCUGACCCGCCCUUCUCGCCUCCCGAGGCGCCGGCGCGUGAACCAUGUGCUGCUUGGGGGCGCGGGUGGGUCGCUGCCGUGGGUUAUGACAACUUUCUCAACCGCACCGUAGUUUACCGAAGGUACUGAGGAUUGAACCCUGGGCCUCAUGCACAUCAGGCAUGUGCUCUACCACUGAGCUGCGACCUCAGCAGUGUAUCUAAAUUCUUUUACUAACAUUAUGUCUGUCACAUUCUUCCUGUUGUUGGAGGUAAUGGUCUAUUCUUUGCUCUCUUUUUGGAAGAGUGCUGGGGAUUGAACAUGAAUACAAAGCAGGCAUUCUACCACUGAGAUACAUUCUCCAGUCCCCAGUACCCUGCUUUUCAUUUCUGUGUAUAAUUAUUUUCUUGUGUGACUUGAACACAGUAUGUAUUUUUCCCUUUGGUGAAUACUUUCUACGGUUUGGCUUGUAUGAAUAAAAGUGUUCUUAUUCCUGUCUUU